rnacentral:rRNA from 1 species
UUUGAUCCUGGCUCAGGAUGAACGCUGGCGGCGUGCCUAAUACAUGCAAGUCGAACGCGCUGUGGCAAUUAUUGAGAAGCUUGCUUCAAUUUAAUUGCAAUGCAGCGAGUGGCGAACGGGUGAGUAACACGUGGGAAACCUACCUCUUAGCAGGGGAUAACAUUUGGAAACAGAUGCUAAUACCGUAUAAUAACUUUUACCGCAUGGUGAAAGUUUGAAAGAUGGUUCUGCUAUCACUAAGAGAUGGUCCCGCGGUGUAUUAGCUAGAUGGUGAGGUAAUGGCUCACCAUGGCGAUGAUACAUAGCCGAGUUGAGAGACUGAUCGGCCACAUUGGAACUGAGACACGGUCCAAACUCCUACGGGAGGCAGCAGUAGGGAAUCUUCCACAAUGGACGAAAAUCUGAUGGAGCAACGCCGCGUGUGUGAUGAAGGGUUUCGGCUCGUAAAGCACUGUUAUAAGAGAAGAACGUCAGUGAGAGUAACUAUUCAUUGAGUGACGGUAUCUUAUCAGAAAGGGACGGCUAAAUACGUGCCAGCAGCCGCGGUAAUACGUAUGUCCCAAGCGUUAUCCGGAUUUAUUGGGCGUAAAGCGAGCGCAGGCGGUUAUUUAAGUCUGAUGUGAAAGCCUACGG